rnacentral:tRNA from 1 species
GCCGAAGUGGCGGAACCGGCAGACGCGCUCGCCUCAAAAGUGAGUGGAGGUUGCUCCAUGUGGGUUCGACUCCCACCUUCGGCA